rnacentral:rRNA from 1 species
AUUGAACGCUGGCGGCAUGCUUUACACAUGCAAGUCGAACGGCAGCGCGGGCUUCGGCCUGGCGGCGAGUGGCGAACGGGUGAGUAAUGCAUCGGAACGUGCCCAGUAGUGGGGGAUAGCCCGGCGAAAGCCGGAUUAAUACCGCAUACGACCUGAGGGUGAAAGCGGGGGACCGAAAGGCCUCGCGCUAUUGGAGCGGCCGAUGUCGGAUUAGCUAGUUGGUGGGGUAAAGGCUUACCAAGGCGACGAUCCGUAGCUGGUCUGAGAGGACGACCAGCCAGGAGGGGGGAAGGGCGAGGACAGGGGGCCAACGGGAGGCAGCGGUGGGGGGGGAGGGACGAGGGGGGGCAGGUUGAACAAGCCGUGCCGGGGGCAGGAAGAAGGCGGGCGGGUGGGCAACAGCUUGUGUGGGGGAAGAAAGCCUCUGGGCUGAGACACCGGGGGGAUGCCGGUGCCGGAAGAAGAAACACCGGCUAACUACG